UCAUUCAUGUUAAUGAAUUUAGAAAUCAAUCUUUAUUUGUAGGAGAAAGAGAAAAGGAGAACCUGUCAAAAUACUAGCGCCAAGGAACUUGACUUGGAUAACGAUAAGGUAAGAUUUAUGUAGUAGAUUUCUUUCCUAGAAAUGAUGUUAUCUUGUUUAUACAUAUUCUCCAAAUAUGUAGUUUUUUAUUAUUCCACAACCCCCUUCCAAAAA